CCUACGGGAGGCAGCAGUGAGGAAUAUUGGUCAAUGGGCGCGAGCCUGAACCAGCCAAGUAGCGUGAAGGAUGACUGCCCUACGGGUUGUAAACUUCUUUUAUAAAGGAAUAAAGUGAGGCACGUGUGCCUUUUUGUAUGUACUUUAUGAAUAAGGAUCGGCUAACUCCGUGCCAGCAGCCGCGGUAAUACGGAGGAUCCGAGCGUUAUCCGGAUUUAUUGGGUUUAAAGGGAGCGUAGAUGGGUUGUUAAGUCAGUUGUGAAAGUUUGCGGCUCAACCGUAAAAUUGCAAUUGAUACUGGCAGCAUUGAGUACAGUAGAGGUAGGCGGAAUUCGUGGUGUAGCGGUGAAAUGCUUAGAUAUUAGGAGGAACAUCAGUGGCGAAGGCGACUAUCUGGACAGCAACUGACACUGAGGCACGAAAGCGUGGGGAGCAAACAGGAUUAGAUACCCUGGUAGUC
rnacentral:rRNA from 1 species